AUGUCUGGGAAACUGCCUGAUGGAGGGGGAUAACUACUGGAAACGGUAGCUAAUACCGCAUAAUGUCGCAAGACCAAAGUGGGGGACCUUCGGGCCUCAUGCCAUCAGAUGUGCCCAGAUGGGAUUAGCUAGUAGGUGGGGUAACGGCUCACCUAGGCGACGAUCCCUAGCUGGUCUGAGAGGAUGACCAGCCACACUGGAACUGAGACACGGUCCAGACUCCUACGGGAGGCAGCAGUGGGGAAUAUUGCACAAUGGGCGCAAGCCUGAUGCAGCCAUGCCGCGUGUGUGAAGAAGGCCUUCGGGUUGUAAAGCACUUUCAGCGGGGAGGAAGGCGAUAAGGUUAAUAACCUUGGCGAUUGACGUUACCCGCAGAAGAAGCACCGGCUAACUCCGUGCCAGCAGCCGCGGUAAUACGGAGGGUGCAAGCGUUAAUCGGAAUUACUGGGCGUAAAGCGCACGCAGGCGGUCUGUCAAGUCGGAUGUGAAAUCCCCGGGCUCAACCUGGGAACUGCAUUCGAAACUGGCAGGCUAGAGUCUUGUAGAGGGGGGUAGAAUUCCAGGUGUAGCGGUGAAAUGCGUAGAGAUCUGGAGGAAUACCGGUGGCGAAGGCGGCCCCCUGGACAAAGACUGACGCUCAGGUGCGAAAGCGUGGGGAGCAAACAGGAUUAGAUACCCUGGUAGUCCACGCCGUAAACGAUGUCGAUUUGGAGGUUGUGCCCUUGAGGCGUGGCUUCCGGAGCUAACGCGUUAAAUCGACCGCCUGGGGAGUACGGCCGCAAGGUUAAAACUCAAAUGAAUUGACGGGGGCCCGCACAAGCGGUGGAGCAUGUGGUUUAAUUCGAUGCAACGCGAAGAACCUUACCUGGUCUUGACAUCCACAGAACUUUCCAGAGAUGGAUUGGUGCCUUCGGGAACUGUGAGACAGGUGCUGCAUGGCUGUCGUCAGCUCGUGUUGUGAAAUGUUGGGUUAAGUCCCGCAACGAGCGCAACCCUUAUCCUUUGUUGCCAGCGGUUAGGCCGGGAACUCAAAGGAGACUGCCAGUGAUAAACUGGAGGAAGGUGGGGAUGACGUCAAGUCAUCAUGGCCCUUACGACCAGGGCUACACACGUGCUACAAUGGCAUAUACAAAGAGAAGCGACCUCGCGAGAGCAAGCGGACCUCAUAAAGUAUGUCGUAGUCCGGAUUGGAGUCUGCAACUCGACUCCAUGAAGUCGGAAUCGCUAGUAAUCGUAGAUCAGAAUGCUACGGUGAAUACGUUCCCGGGCCUUGUACACACCGCCCGUCACACCAU
rnacentral:rRNA from 1 species